ensembl:lncRNA
CCGAGAUGAGUUUUCUCAGAAGGGUGGCUGGCGUCUCCCUAACUCGGAUUAGAGCCGCUGCUCCUUUACUUAGAAAGGAGUCAGCUGAGGUGGUUCGGGUAUCUGGUAAGGAUGCCCACUGGGCGCCUUCCUUGGGAGGUGUUUCAGGCACGUCCAGUGGGGAGGAGACCUCGGGGAAGACCCAGGACUAGGUGGAGAGAUUAUAUCUCAACACUGGCCUGGGAACGCCUCGGGAUCCCCCCGUCAGAGUUGGUCAAUGUGGCCCGGGAAAGGGAAGUCUGGGGCCCCCUGCAUGAGCUGCUCCCCCCGCGACCCGACCCCGGAUAAGCGGAUAGGAGACCGGUACUUUGGAACAUGAGGAUCGACAUAUACAGAGAUAAAAACAAAACCAACAGGCUUGGAAAGAGAUCGCUGAGGAGUUUGGCCUGCAAGACCGGACAGAAAUUCUACGGAGGGGAGGAGUCUCGGAGGAAAAACGGACAUUACGGAGAAUCACAUAGGAAUGAAUGGACUUUCGGUCGGAGACGGUUGGAUCGCAUACGAGAAUAGACUCAUAGAGAGAUUAUCGAACAGCGACGAUGGACAGGAAGACAUUGUUUUCUUUGUGGGCUCAACUGACCCCUGCUUCCAUCAUGAUGGCGGACAGGGAGUCCUACACCGAGGUGACCAGGCUCGUCCCCGCCCCCCCUACUGAGGCCAAGCCCCCGGGCCUUAACCCCCGCUACCCUCGUGGGGCUAGGCUGCCCUGGUUGGCUGCCCCAGCUGGUGGCAGCAACGAGAGGGUCGUCCUCCGCCCCCCGACUGAGGCCAAGCCCCCGGGCCUUAACCCCCGCUACCCUCGUGGGGCUAGGCUGCCCCGAUUGGCUGUGGCUGAGGAGGCUGACGGCCAGGAAGCCUGGAUCACGGCGGCCCACUCCGACACCGUGUCCCUCUGUGCACGGGCUCUGGGUGCCGUCUCGAGCCAGGAGACUUCCCCGGGCCGAACCCCCCCAGAAGUGGCUGACCCUGACCACCAUCGUGGGGCUAGGCUGCCCCGGUUGGCUGCCCCAGCCGCUGGCCCCAACGAGAGGAUCGUCCUCCGCCCCCCUACUGAGGCCAAGCCCCCGGGCCUUAACCCCUGCUACCCUCGUGGGUCUAGGCUGCCCCGGUUGGCUGUGGCUGAGGAGGCUGACGGCCAGG